rnacentral:rRNA from 1 species
GCUUAUGGCCAUACCACCCUGAGAACGCCCGAUCUCGUCUGAUCUCGGAAGCUAAGCAGGGUCGGGCCUGGUUAGUACUUGGAUGGGAGACCGCCUGGGAAUACCAGGUGCUGCAAGCU